AUUGGGUCAUGCCUGCCUCCUGCAUUCCCAGUUUUCCAGUCAAAUCUUACAGGCCUCUUUCAAGCCUAGCUUCCACAG